GUUAUAGGGUCAAGUGAAUAAGUGCAUGUGGUGGAUGCCUUGGCGAUCACAGGCGAUGAAGGACGUUGUAGCCUGCGUUAUGCUGCGGGGAGCUGGCAAACAAGCUUUGAUCCGCAGAUUUCCGAAUGGGGAAACCCACUCCGCAAGGAGUAUCCCACGCUGAAUACAUAGGCGUGAGGAGGCGAACCGAGCGAACUGAAACAUCUAAGUAGCUCGAGGAAAAGAAAUCAACCGAGAUUCCGAAAGUAGUGGCGAGCGAAAUUGGAACAGCCUGUACGUGAUAAUCAUGAAGUCAGCAAAACGGCCUGGAAAGGCCGGCCAUAGCAGGUGAUAGCCCUGUAUGCGAAAACUUCGUGAUGGUACUAAGCGUACGAUAAGUAGGGCGGGACACGUGGAAUCCUGUCUGAAGAUGGGGGGACCAUCCUCCAAGGCUAAAUACUCGUGAUCGACCGAUAGUGAACCAGUACCGUGAGGGAAAGGCGAAAAGAACCCCGCAAGCUUAACCGAAUAGGGGAGGCGCAGGGAAACCGAGUCCGAAUAGGGCGAUCAGUCGCUAGGCGUAGACCCGAAACCAGAUGAUCUAUCCAUGGCCAGGAUGAAGGUAGGGUAACACCUGCUGGAGGUCCGAACCGACUACUGUUGCAAAAGUAGCGGAUGAGCUGUGGAUAGGGGUGAAAGGCUAAACAAAUCUGGAAAUAGCUGGUUCUCCCCGAAAACUAUUUAGGUAGUGCCUCAUGUAUGGCUCCAGGGGGUAGAGCACUGUCAUCAUUGCGGGGGUCAUUGCGAUUUACCGCGUGAUAGCAAACUCCGAAUACCUGGAAGUCUGAGCAUGGGAGACAGUCCUCGGGUGCUAACGUCCGAGGUCGAGAGGGAAACAACCCAGACCGCCAGCUAAGGUCCCCAAGCAUGACUAAGUGGGAAACGAAGUGGGAAGGCUAAAACAGUCAGGAGGUUGGCUUAGAAGCAGCCACCCUUUAAAGAAAGCGUAAUAGCUCACUGAUCGAGUCGUUGCUGGAGGUAUCAGAAGUGCGAAUGCUGACAUGAGUAGCGUUAAACAGAGUGAAAAGCUCUGUCGCCGUAAGCGCAAGGUUUCCUACGCAACGUUAAUCGACGUAGGGUGAGUCGGCCCCUAAGGCGAGGGCGAGAGCCGUAGCUGAUGGGAAGCAGGUUAAUAUUCCUGCACCGAUACUAGAUGCGAUGGGGGGACGGAUCGUGGAAGGUUGUCCGGGUGUUGGAUGUCCCGGUCCCUGUCUUGUAGGUGUUCAGUAGGCAAAUCCGCUGAACGUAUGCCGAGGAGAUGGGGCGAGUGAGCUUGCUCGCGAAGCAACUGGAAGGGGUCCCAGGAAAAGCCUCUAAGCUUCAGUCUAGUACGACCGUACCGCAAACCGACACUGGUGCGCGAGAUGAGUAUUCUCAGGCGCUUGAGAGAACUGCGGAGAAGGAACUCGGCAAAUUGACACCGUAACUUCGGGAGAAGGUGUGCCUUUUUAGCUUGAGUGUGAACAACACAAGGGCGAAGAGGCUGCAAAAAAUAGGUGGCUGCGACUGUUUACCAAAAACACAGCACUCUGCAAACACGAAAGUGGACGUAUAGGGUGUGACGCCUGCCCGGUGCCGGAAGGUU
rnacentral:rRNA from 1 species